AUCCAGCUGACGAGUACCAAAUAGGACGAAACACGCUUGCUAGAU
rnacentral:hammerhead_ribozyme from 1 species